CCUACGGGGGGCUGCAGUGGGGAAUAUUGGACAAUGGGGGGAACCCUGAUCCAGCCAUGCCGCGUGUGUGAAGAAGGCCCUCGGGUUGUAAAGCACUUUCAGUGAGGAAGAACGCCUGGUGGUUAAUACCCAUCAGGAAAGACAUCACUCACAGAAGAAGCACCGGCUAACUCCGUGCCAGCAGCCGCGGUAAUACGGAGGCUGCGAGCGUUAAUCGGAAUUACUGGGCGUAAAGCGCGCGUAGGUGGCUUGAUAAGCCGGUUGUGAAAGCCCCGGGCUCAACCUGGGAACGGCAUCCGGAACUGUCAAGCUAGAGUGCAGGAGAGGAAGGUAGAAUUCCCGGUGUAGCGGUGAAAUGCGUAGAGAUCGGGAGGAAUACCAGUGGCGAAGGCGGCCUUCUGGACUGACACUGACACUGAGGUGCGAAAGCGUGGGUAGCAAACAGGAUUAGAUACCCGUGUAGUC
rnacentral:rRNA from 1 species